AGCUUGAAUCAACAUUUUCCCCACCCUCAUGUAAAGUUCUUGAAUCGCUUCUAUAAGGACCGUAAGCUAAUUUUUGAAAUGACGACUGGAAUUAAAAGGACAACUAUAUAGAAGCAGCAGUGCAAAAAGUCCUGGAGACCCAGGUUCUGUUUACCUCUCAAGUAGCAAUUAGAUUACUGUGAGGCAUGCGUGAACUACGCUCUGGCAGCUGCGCUUGGGGGAAUUCAACUUGAACAAAUGAUUCCUGGAUCUGGAUUCUGUUGGAAAUGUUGGUCACCUACCAUCCUUAUGAGAGAGACUGAGGAUGGGUUUUUCAUUUACCUGCGAGAGUGCAUGUUACCUAGAUGAGAAAACAUUAUUAUGGAAGGUGAACUUUCUGAGCAGGAACUGCUUGUCAUGGAGAUACUGAAAUGAAUGGCCAUCAUCCAAGUAGAGCUCUCCUGAUGCAGACCCCUACAGAGAAGGCCCUGGCACAGACACAGCCACACAGCAUCAAAACCGAAGAGCACAAACCUUGUAUUUUUCAAAGGCAAAUUGAUCUGCAUACCAUUCUCGGACUUCAGGAUUAGUGAAAUCCAGAUUGUGGGCUGCCUGUACAGUCUAACUGCUUAAAGAACUUUAUCAUGGAAGCCUCUACUUGCUGUGAUACCUACUAUUCAAGUGAAAGGGCAAACAAAAGCAAAUGGGAAAGAAUACUUAAACUACUUCAGUAGUCCUCUAUAGCUUGAAGAUACUACAAGAAUAAACACAGAAGGCUGCAUUUUCUCAAACAGACCAUACCUGUCAACUGUGCAUACUGCUUAAAAACAUCAAAGGGACUGGGGCCCAUUAGGAU